rnacentral:rRNA from 1 species
CUGGAAUUCGCCCUUAGAGUUCGAUCCUGGCUCAAGAUGAACGCUAGCUACAGAGCUUAACACAUGCAAGUCGAGGGGCAGCAUCAUCAAAGCUUGCUUUGAUGGAUGGCGACCGGCGCACGGGUGAGUAACACGUAUCCAACCUGCCGACAACUCUGGGAUAGCCUUUCGAAAGAAAGAUUAAUACCGGAUGGCAUAGUUUUCCCGCAUGGGAUGACUAUUAAAGAAUUUCGGUUGUCGAUGGGGAUGCGUUCCAUUAGGCAGUUGGCGGGGUAACGGCCCACCAAACCAACGAUGGAUAGGGGUUCUGAGAGGAAGGUCCCCCACAUUGAAACUGAGACACGGUCCAAACUCCUACGGGAGGCAGCAGUGAAGAAUAUUGGUCAAUGGACGAGAGUCUGAACCAGCCAAGUAGCGUGAAGGAUGACUGCCCUAUGGGUUGUAAACUUCUUUUAUACGGGAAUAAAGUUAGCCUAGUGUGGCUUUUUGUAUGUACCGUAUGAAUAAGGAUCGGCUAACUCCGUGCCAGCAGCCGCGGUAAUACGGAGGAUCCGAGCGUUAUCCGGAUUUAUUGGGUUUAAAGGGAGCGUAGGCGGGUUGUUAAGUCAGUUGUGAAAGUUUGCGGCUCAACCGUAAAAUUGCAGUUGAUACUGGCGACCUUGAGUGCAACAGAGGUAGGCGGAAUUCGUGGUGUAGCGGUGAAAUG